CAGCCGCCGCGGUAAUACGGAGGGGGCUAGCGUUGUUCGGAAUUACUGGGCGUAAAGCGCACGUAGGCGGCUUUGUAAGUUAGAGGUGAAAGCCCGGAGCUCAACUCCGGAAUUGCCUUUAAGACUGCAAAGCUAGCAGGUGAGAGAGGUGAGUGGAAUUCCGAGUGUAGAGGUGAAAUUCGUAGAUAUUCGGAAGAACACCAGUGGCGAAGGCGGCUCACUGGCUCAUACUGGACGCUGAGGUGCGAAAGCGUGGGGAGCAAACAGGAUUAGAUACCCGAGUAGUCCCUGUCUCUUAUAC
rnacentral:rRNA from 1 species